rnacentral:rRNA from 1 species
UACGAAGGGGCUAGCGUUGUUCGGAAUUACUGGGCGUAAAGGGCGCGUAGGCGGUGUGUCAAGUCAGGCGUGAAAGCCCCGGGCUCAACCUGGGAACCGCGCUUGAGACUGGCACGCUCGAGUUCGGGAGAGGAUGGUGGAAUUCCCAGUGUAGAGGUGAAAUUCGUAGAUAUUGGGAAGAACACCGAUGGCGAAGGCAGCCAUCUGGACCGACACUGACGCUGAGGCGCGGAAAGCGUGGGGAGCAAACAGG